rnacentral:lncRNA from 1 species
GCUGGUGAGCACAAGACAAGCCCCUUGCAAAACAGCUAUCAGUUAUCCUAGACGAUCCUGAGGUACGUAUUAUUUAUUUGCGCUUUCUAUUGUAUGUCAUUUUCGAAACUGGAUACGUGAUCAGUAAUUCAAUGAAAUGUCAAUAUGUCAGCUUGAAGUCCUCACUGAGCUGACACCAUCGAUCGAGGAGGAGGAUCAGACUAAUAUCCGUGAGGUGUUGAUAGAUCUUGCUGCUCGAGAGAGGCUUGAGUCCAUCGUCGAUCGGGACACGGUAUGUUAAUUGAAUAUAAUAUGUUGAUUAUCGUUAUAGUUUUUUAAUUAAGUUAUAUAACAUGUACACAAGGUCAACUCGAGCAAAAUCUGGAGUCGGUAUCUAUGAUUGUCCCCAUGCUGGCUAGACGAGCGAACAUUACCGUGCAGGACAGAUUUGCCAUCACG